AUGGACCAUUCCAUCCCUUAUUCCCGUGGCUAUGCAUCAGAGUCAUAUGAUGAUGGUUCGGAUGAAGAAGUUGAUGAGGAGGGGUUCAGGGUGAAGAAGGCCGAAGCUUCCGAGAAGGUAUUUAGGCGGGAUCAUCAGACUCCAUUGUUCAAGGAUGUUAGUAUCGCGGAUGAAGCCAUGGUAGAUGGUGGCCAAGGUAUAUCUUUUGGAGUUAGGACAAGUUCUCAUCGGGAUUUGGAAGAAACCAACAAUAGGAUUUUUCCCGGGUCUAAGUUCCAAACCUUCUUGGAAUUGAAGAUGUGGCUCGACAAAUAUUCGGUUACGCAUUAUCGUCCACACAAGGUGGUUCACUCCAACGUCAAUGUGCGUUACACGGUUGCAUGUGAAGAGAAAAAAUGUCCAUGGCUUGUGCGUGCAAGACCGUGGAAAGGAGAGCCCACUGGGCACGUAGUUAGUUGUGUACCAAGUCACAUGUGCCGAGGAAAGAAGGUGGAUGGCAAGGUUGUGUCCCAAGACCACAACCAACUGACGUCCUAG
rnacentral:rRNA from 1 species